AACGAACGCUGGCGGCAGGCUUAACACAUGCAAGUCGAGCGCCCCGCAAGGGGAGCGGCAGACGGGUGAGUAACGCGUGGGAAUCUACCCAUCUCUACGGAAUAACGCAUGGAAACGUGUGCUAAUACCGUAUACGUCCUUCGGGAGAAAGAUUUAUCGGAGAUGAGAUGAGCCCGCGUUGGAUUAGCUAGUUGGUGGGGUAAAGGCCUACCAAGGCGACGAUCCAUAGCUGGUCUGAGAGGAUGAUCAGCCACACUGGGACUGAGACACGGCCCAAACUCCUACGGGAGGCAGCAGUGGGGAAUAUUGGACAAUGGGCGCAAGCCUGAUCCAGCCAUGCCGCGUGAGUGAUGAAGGCCCUAGGGUUGUAAAGCUCUUUCACCGGUGAAGAUAAUGACGGUAACCGGAGAAGAAGCCCCGGCUAACUUCGUGCCAGCCGCCGCCGUAAUAC
rnacentral:rRNA from 1 species